rnacentral:lncRNA from 1 species
AUGGAGAGCAGGUGCUACGGCUGUGCUGUCCAGUUUACCCUCUUCAAGGAGUAUGGCUGUAAGAAUUGUGGCCAAGCCUUCUGUAAGGACUCUCUUAGCUUCAGUGUUCUGCUACCCCAGACUGGCAACACAUAACAGAAAGUCUGCAAGCAGUGCCACACAGUCCUGACCAGAGGAUCCUCCAAGUGAUCGCCACCUCAGUAUAAGAAGUGUGUGGCAGCCUUGGAAGACAAGAAGAAGCCCAGCACUUCCUAGAGCCAAGGCCUGACCCACAAAGACAAAGACAUUGCUGAGUGCCUAGCAGGAAUUUGGCCGGAAAACAAGCCCAAGUCAGUACCCUCACAAGCAGAGAUAGAGGCACAGCUAGCCACGCUGAAGGAUGAAGUCCAGGGCCCCAUUCCUACCACACAGGAGAUGGAGGAUCAGCUUGCAGCAUUGCAGGGCACAGUCCUGCUUCUUCACACUUUGAGGCUGGCACACCAGGCACCAGAUAUCAGGACCCAAGGCCAGCAGAUGCAGAAUCUGCUAACACAGUUGACAGCUGAGGUGGAUAUUGAUGAAAGCUGGCAACCAAGAGCCUCAGCCCCCUCCCCCUCCAUAAUGACCUUAACAAGGGAGCUACAAGAAAUCAGCACACAAAUUCCCAGGGGCAGGCCACCCGGUCUCUGGAGGAAGAGAAGAACAAGCUGCUAGCUGAGGCAGCAGUUGAGCUACAGGAGGAGAACAACCAGGCAGGAAUAGAUCCUGGCUCUUGCCAAAAGAUUGGUUAUGUACAACAGAGUGACCCUCCAGGACGAUCAACACCCAAACAGUGAUGAGGAUGAAGAGACAGCCAUCCAGAGAGUCAUACAGCAGCUCACUGAAGAAGCUGCCCUGGAUGGGACAAGUGGCUUUAACAUUCCUGAGGAACCAGCUCCAGGAUCCCAGGCCCAACCCUGCAAGGCAGAGACUGAGGGUCCCCAGGCUGAGGAAGAACUCCCCUGGUGCUGUAUCUGUAAUGAGGAUGCUACUCUGCACGGUGCUGGCUGUGAUGGAGACCUCUACUGUGCUCAGGGCUUCUGGAAGGGCCAAGAUAACUUUGAUCUUAAAGAACAUCAGACUUCUCCCUACCACCCCCAACCACCUUGCCAAGAACACU